rnacentral:lncRNA from 1 species
AUGUACGUGUCCGGACAUUGCAUACAUCGUUGGGAUGUUAGGCAGAUAUUUAAGCAACCCUGGUAUAGACCAUUGGACAGCAGCCAAAAGGGUUAUGAGAUAUCUUCAGAGAACAAAAGAUUACAUGUUUACUUAUAAGAGAUCAAAUCUUUUGGAGGUCAUAGGGUAUUCUGAUUCUGAUUUCGCUGGAUGCCAAGAUAGUAGGAAAUCUACAUCAGGCUAUAUUUACCUGUUAGUCGGAGGAGCUAUAUCUUGGAAAAGUGUUAAAGAGACACUUGUAGCUUCGUCCACUAUGGCAGCAGAGUUUGUAGCAUGCAAUGAGGCAUCAAAACAUGGAAUAUGGUUGCGGAACUUUGUCACAGGGCUGCACAUUUCGGAGAAUGUAAAAAGACCACUCAAAUUAUUUUGUAACAUUAAGUCAGCAGUGCUGUAUUCCAAUAACAACAGGAGUUCAUCUAAGUCAAAGCAUAUUGACAUAAAGUUCCUAGUUGUAAAAGAAAGAGUGCAAAAUGGUCAAAUCUCAAUAGAGCACAUUGGGACAAACUCCAUGAUAGCGGAUCCGCUCACAAAAGGUUUACCACCCAAGGUCUUUCAUGAGCACACUGCUCACAUGGGUGUUACAUUGUUUGAUGAUAUCAUGAUUUAGUGGGAGUUUAUAUUUCAGACAUGUAUUUAGUUAUUUUCUGAUCAGAAAUAAAGUAUUCAGUUUAUUCACUCAGUUUAUUAUUUUGAAAUUGACCUCACUUAAGUUUAAGGAAGGACUAGUUGGAAAUAGACAUGUUUAGAUCAUAUUGCAUGCAAUUUCCAUGCUACACAUCCAUACUUGAUCUAUGUCAUUUGGUUGUGUUAAUAUACGUGAUCAUGGAUGGAUUUAGUUACAAUAUUUGUAACGAAAGUCGCCUUGGUUCUAUGUUAACAUAAUUAAUGGACGAGAUUGUACGGAAUGCCUUUUGGAUAUGAUAGUAAAAAUUUUGAGCUCAUAAGGUUAUAUAAUGACAUGUAAUUAUAAAGUAAUUAGUAUAUAUAUGUGGUCCAAGUGGGAGAUUGUUGGAAAAUUUGGACAUCACAUAUAUAAUAAGGAUAAUUACAUAUUAUUUACUAUCAUGAUAGGUUAGCCCCAAAUUAAAAGUGAUCUAAUUUGGUUAGAAUUUUAUUGGGCUUUUAAUUAUUAAAUAAAUAAAGUGUGGGUCAAAUAUGUGUAGAUACUCUUCUAAUCAAAUUCUAAUUAAUGAUGGGCUAAUUAGAAUUUGAUUAGAACUAAUAUGCUAAGGUUAUAAAUAUUAGGGUUAUGGUCCCCAAAUUAUACACAAGAUAUCUUUCCUAAUAUCCCAUAAUUAGGAAAGAAAGAGCAAAUAUUCUCUGAGUUUCUUGUGUGCUAAUUUGGAAGAUCAAAUCCCCAAGUUCCAGAAAGUUUCAAGGAAUCCAUGGAUUCAGAUACGUUUCGCUUCCAUAUCUAGUUUUGUUCUUGAUUUAUUCUUAAUGAUUUGACAUGACAGAUCCUGAUUUAUUAAGUUAUAUUGUAGAUUUAUUUUAUAAAUUCUAACAAGUGAUUCGAUAUGACGAGGCUCUGAUACCACUUGUUAGAAUUUAUAAAAUAAAUCUACAAUAUAACUUAAUAAACCAGGAUCUGUCAUGUCUAAUUAUUAAGAAUAAAUCAAGAACAAAACUAGAUGCGAAAGCGUACCUGAAUCCAUGGAUUCCUUGAAACUUUCUAGAACUUGGGGAUUUGAUCUUCUAAAUUCGCACACAAGAAACUCAGAGAAUAUCUACUCUUUCUUUCCUAAUGAUGGGAUACUAGAAAAGAUAUCUUGUGUAUAAUUUGGGGACGAUAACCCUAAUAUUUAUAACCUUAGCAUAUUAGUUCUAUCAAAUUCUAAUUAGCCCAUCAUUAAUUAGAAUUUGAUUAGAAGAGUAUCUACAAAUAUUUGACCAAUACUUUAUUUAUUUAAUAAUUAAAAGCCCAAUAAAAUUCUAACCAAUUAGAUCACUUUUAAUUUGAGCUAACAUAUCAUGAUAGUAAAUAAUAUGUAAUUAUCCUUAUUAUAUAUGUGACGUCCAAAUUUUCCAACAUGAAGAACUAGCAAAUUUGAAUAUAUCCAAUGAUGAAGAGGAUACUAUAGAAGGGCAACAAAUCGAAGAAGAAGAGGAUGAGGAAUAUGAAUUAUGCUUGGUUGGGAGGGUAUUAACUAAAAGUGUGGUACACAUUCCUUCCUUGAGACAGGUGCUAGCAGAAGUAUGGCAUCCAGUGGGCGGAAUUUCUAUUACAAACUUAGGGGAAAAAAGAACUUUUUUUAGGUUUUAUCAUUAGAUCAAUAUUAAAAGGGUUAUCAAGGGUACACCGUGGUUCUUCAACAGUCACCUAAUUUUGUUUCAAUGAUUGGAGAAGGGGGAACGCUCGCUGCAAGUACCAUUAUAUUUUACAGAGUUGUGGGUACAAAUACAUUAUCUACCGGGAGGUUUCAUGUCUGAAGGAAUGGCACGUCAACUUGGUAAUUUUAUUAAAAAAUUCAUGGAGUCUGAUGUGGCUUUAGUAACUAGGGGAAUUAAAAAAUUUAUGAGGGUAAGAGUUAUGUUGGAUGUUCGAAAACCCCUAAAAAGAAAGAAAAUGAUAGCUAUUUGUCAAAAUGAAACAACAUACGCUAUGUUUCAAUACAAAAAGCUUUCAUUAUUUUGCUAUCUAUGUGGCAAAUUGAAGCAUGGAGAAGGUUUCUGUCCAGUUAGAUUAACGUUAGAAUCAUAAGAAGUUACUUUUGGAUGGGAUCUAUCAAUAGAGUGUUGAUAAGAAUAAGACAAAUGGAAGAUUACAAGUGGCUAAGAGAAGAUAGAUCGGAUUCCAAAUCGGUCGUUGGGGGAAAAUUAAGAGAAAAUGGAGAGAGAUUGGCUUGAGUUAAUCCAAGCCUUAGCCCACAUUAAUGACAACACUAGGUUAGAAGGGAUAACUUAUGGAGGAGAGGAUGUGAGUUAUAUGGAGCUUGGAUCAAACCUAGAGGAAAUUCCUAUUAAAAAAGAUAAAGGUUGUCUUCAAUGAGUUCUAUUGUUUCUCAUUUAGUGGAUUCAAAAAAUUCUCCUAUUAUAUCAGCAGCUGCUGAAAAGUAGACCGACCGAUCACAAUGAAACUACUAAGUUUGAAUGCCCAUGGAUUAGGGCACCCACGGGAAGUAAGGCAUCUCAAAAACAAAGUGAGACAUAUUCAACCCUAGGUUUGGUUUCUCAUGGAAACCAAAGUAAGUGUAAGAAAGAUGGAACGAAUUUGAAGAAAGUGUGGUUUGCAAAAUGGCAUUGAUGCGGAUGCCACUAAAUGGGGACUAUAGUUGGGUUGGAAGCAAGAGUGUAACAUUCAAUUACGAAGCUUUUCAUCGUCACAUAUUGAUGUUAAAAUAACAGAAGUGGAAGGUGCAAAAGUAUGGAGAUUUACGAGAUUUUAUGGAUCACUAGAGGAACCCUGCAGGAGGGAUUGUUGGAAUAUUCUAUGACAUUUAAAUAAUACCAACAACCUACCCUGGUUAGUGGUAGGAGACUUUGAUGAAAUUCUUUUCCUUUUUAAAAGAAAGGAGGGUGUCAACGAGAAGUGAAUCAAAUGUUGGCAUUCUGCCAAGUCUUAGACGAUUGUAAUCUCAUAGAUAUAGGAUUUUUGGGUUAGUGGUUUACAUGGGAGAAAGGGAAACUUCAGAAUAAUAACAUAUGUGAAAGGCAUGAUAAAUGAGUGUGAACCUAGAAUGGUGAACUAUAUUUCCAAAUUUUUGUGUAAGACACCUUACACAUUCUAAGUCGUAUCACUGCCCAAUUCUUGUUAAUACAUUGGAUAGUAGUUCAAAGCAGAAGGGACAAUAACAACCAAAAUUCAGAUUCAAUGCGUAUUUGGUAAUUGAAGAAGGCCUUGAAAGUGAAAUACAAAAGUAGUGGGAAGAAGACAAAAGGGAGGUUCCUACUAAACUAGAAGCAAUAGGAGCAAAACUAAACAAUUGGGCUCAGGCAAAUCAGUUGGGAAGGCAACGUCACGCAACCUAUUGAAGUGUGAGAUUAGAAGAAUUAAAUACGAAUACUCCAGAUGAAAAAAAUUUGGCAGAAUUAACAAAGAUAAAGCUUGCACUAAACUUAAAAGCAUACAAUGAGGAGUUAUUUUGGGAACAAAUUGGUUACGUUUUGGACAUAGGAACACAUCAUAUUUCCAUAACAUUGUGUCGGCUAAAAAGAAAAAAAAACACAAUUCAGGAGCUUAAGAACGAUAGUGGGGAAUAGGUUCAAGAUGAGAAAAAUAUGGCAAACAUUGCCACCGACUAUUUCAAAUAGUUGUUUAUGGCUUCUUCUAGAAGAGAUAGCACUCGAGCGUUAAUAGAAAUUCAAUCAUGCAUUAAUGAAGUCAAUAAGGUAGAGUUGACAAUGGAGUUUAAGAAUAAGGAGAUUGGGAGGAAGUUAAAAUAAUGUCGCCAAUGAAAGCUUCUGGAGAUGACGGUUUCCUAGCUUCAUUUCAUUAGAGAUAUUUGAGUAUCUUAGGAAAUGAGAUCAACCAUAAAAAUAUCGUGUUUAUCCCAAAGACUAAUUCACCAACAAGCAUGACUUAUUUCAGACCAAUAAUCCUUUGCAAUGUGCUAUAUAGAAUACUAUCCACGGUUAUUGUCAACAGGUUUAGAAUAGUAUUGGACAAAUGUAUUGAUGAAGCUCAAGUAGCGUUUGUGCCUAGAAGACAAAUAAAGAUAAUAUUCUUGUAGUUUAUGAGAUAUUACAUUCUUUCAAGAGGAGGAAAUAUGGAUCUCAAGGUUUUUUUUCUUUAAAAUUAGAUAUGAGCAAAGCCUAUGAUAGAGUAGAGUAGUGCUUUUUGCAAAAAAUAAUUACUAAAAUGGGCUUUUGCAAUUAAUGGAUUGAAUUAGUUAUGACAUGUGUGGCUACGACUUGGGGAUCCAUUAAGUCUGUAUUUAUUUCUAUUAUGUGCUGAAGGUUUUUCAAGUCUAUUUAGGGAAGCUAAGUGGGAGAGCUUGAUAAAAAGGGCAAAGGUUGGUAGAAGUAGUCCACAUAUCCAAUAACCCAAAAAAGUACCUUGGUUUGCCAACAAUGGUGGGUAGAAAAAAGAAAGAUGCACUCACUAACUUAAAGGAAAGAUUUGUUAAGUGAAUAGAGAGCUAGAACACAAGGCAACUGUUAAUGGGAGGGAAAGAGGUAUUCAUCAAAUCAAUUUUAUAGGCAAUUCCUAUUUAUGCAAUGCAUAACUUCUUAUUACCAAGUUCUUUAUGCCGUGAAUUAAAUAGCAUGAUUGCAAAAUUUUGGUGGUGUAAUGCAAACACGAAGAAGGCUAUACAUUGGUGCCAAAGGAGAAUGGUCUCUCAACCUAAAGGGAAAGGUAGGUUAAGAUUUAAAGAUUUGUCCAAAUUUAAUAUAGUUUUGCUCAUGAAGCAAGGGUGGAGAUUAAUGUCGAAGCCCGAUUGUUUGUUAGCAAAGGUUAUGAAAGAAAAAUACUAUUCGAACACAGAUUUCAUGAAUGCAAGUAUAAGCUCUUACCUAUCAUAUACCUGGUGUAGUAUAUAGGCAUCUAGAAGGUUUUUGGAAUAGGGUUGUGGUUGGCGUGUGGGAAAUGGUGCAAACAUCAACAUAUGGACUGACAGUUGGUUGUUAGAGCCUGGACAAGAAAGAAUUCAAAGACAUGAAAUUAAUGCAAGAUAUACAAGGGUCGCUGAUUUAAUUGAAACAUGUUCGCCUUUAUGGAAAGAAGAAAUUAUUGAAAAUCUAUUUUAUGAGGAAACCGCACGAAGGAUACUAGAUAUACUUUUCUCAAGCUGUGAUCAGAAUGACCAUUUGGUCUGGAAAGGUGACAAUUUAGGGAUUUACUCAGUCAAAAAUGGGUACAGGUGGCUCAAAGCAACAGAUACAACUGCCAAUGAUGAUCCAAACAAGUUACAAGAAUUACUCUUUACAAAAAUAUAGAGCCUAAGUCUAGCUAGAAAAAUAAAAAUUACAUGUUGGAAAAUAAUUAGCAAUUACAUCCCCACACUAUUUAAUUUACAACAAAGAAGAAUUGGAGUACAAAACUUAUGCCUAGUUUGUCGAAGUGAUGGAGAAUUUAUUAAGCAAACCUUUCGUGAGUGUCCUUUCACGGAACAAGUCCUGCAACGUAUGGAAGUAACAUAGUCGACCAACAAUGAGAAUCAAAAUUGGAAAAUUUGGUUAGAUGCCGAGUUAUUAAUAGGAAAUACACUAUUACUAAGAAAAAUUGUAGUUAUAUUCUGGGCCUUAUGGUACAAUCGUAAUAGGGUAUAUCAUAAUGGAACACGACAAAAUGUUUUUGGAGUAGUUUCUUUCAUAAAUGCUUACAUAUUAGAGAUUAAUAGUAUGGGUAUUAUAUCGAAAGGUAUGCAAGAGGAUUAGGAGACUGUUUGCCAACCAAUGGAAGGAGAUAAUGUCAAAAUUAAUGUUGAUGCAUGUUGUAAUAAUCACAUAAACAAUUCAGUUUCAGGGAUUAUUCUAAGAAACAAUGGAAGUCAUAUAAUGGCAACAAGAACUUAUCCAAAUAUACAUGUGAUAGAUGCGACAAUUGUAGAAGUAUGAGCAUGUGUUCAGGCUCUAAUCUUUGCUGAAGAGCUAGGAAUUCAGAAAAUAGUGGUUGAAAGGGAUUUAUUAACUGUAAAAAAAAGUGGUGGCUACAAAGGAAGAUGAACUAGUCAAUGCAGCUUUGAUCAAAGAAAGUAAAGAGAGAAUAAAUAAUUUUGAAUCAGUAAAGUUUAGAUUCGUACCUCGUUCAGCGAAUUGAGUAGCACAUGAAAUGGCACAAGAAGGAAAACUCUUCGACUCUUCGAUGUUCUAGAUUGAGGAAGCACUAAAAAAAUUGGAAAGUAUAGCAGAUCUGGACAGAGGGAGAAUGGGCAGAGAAGAAUGUUCGAGAAUAUUUGAGUAAAAUGACAAAAAUGUGAGGUUAAGUGUGUUAAAAUCAAAAAAAUAAGGAUGGAAGGAUCAGAGAAUGGUUAUUAGAAACAGUCUUACCAAAAAGAAGGUAGAUCCACUCCUGUUGCAAUCACUGAUGAAGAGACGAAUAUGAGAUAGGAAGAAGGUAGACGAUUUGGUUACCGACUGGAUUUCUUUGCUUUCGUUUUGGAUUAGGAUUUUUAGGGUUUAAAAUUUUUUCUUUUAGGGGUAACUUUAGUGGAGAUUUAAUUUUUCUUUAUUAAGUUAGGGGACACCGACCUUAAUGGCAAUUUGUUUUGAGACAGCUGGUAAUAAGUGGGUUUGUAACCCUUUUUUUCUUCCAAUCAAUGUAUUAGUCAAAUUUUCCUUC